GCCAGACUCCUACGGGAGGCAGCAGUGGGGGAUAUUGCACAAUGGGGGAAACCCUGAUGCAGCGACGCCGCGUGAGUGAAGAAGUAUUUCGGUAUGUAAAGCUCUCUCAGCAGGGAAGAAAAAAGACGGUACCUGACUAAGAAGCCCCGGCUAACUACGUGCCAGCAGCCGCGGUAAUACGUAGGGGGCAAGCGUUAUCCGGAUUUACUGGGUGUAAAGGGAGCGUAGACGGCAAUACAAGUCGGAAGUGAAAUACCCGGGCUCAACCUGGGAACUGCUUUGGAAACUGUAUGGCUGGAGUGCUGGAGAGGUAAGCGGAAUUCCUAGUGUAGCGGUGAAAUGCGUAGAUAUUAGGAGGAACACCAGUGGCGAAGGCGGCUUACUGGACAGUAACUGACGUUGAGGCUCGAAAGCGUGGGGAGCAAACAGGAUUAAAUACCCUGGUA
rnacentral:rRNA from 1 species